GGCCCGGGCCGUGACUGGCGCUUGAGGUGGAUCACCACCGGGGAGCGGCCCGGCGGAGCGCGCCCACCGGCGCGACCCUGCCGAAUGCCGUGCGCCUGGGCGAACCAC
rnacentral:ncRNA from 2 species